CCCAGUCCCCAACACCCGAGCACCCAGCCCCCAGCACCCGAGCCCUGCUUUGGGUCGCACUCCUCUUCCGAACAGACCCAUGGCCGAGCGUGGGGAACUCGACCUGACCGGCGCCAAGCAGAACACCAGAGUGUGGCUGGUCAAGGUUCCUAAAUAUUUGUCACAGCAGUGGGCUAAAGCCCCUGGAAGAGGUGACGUCGGGAAACUGCGGAUUGCCAAGAAUCAAGGAAGGACUGGGGUGUCAUUUACUUUGAAUGAAGAUCUUGUAAAUAUUCAUGAUAUUGGAAAACCAGCUUCAGUCAGCGCUCCUAGAGAACACCCAUUUGUCUUGCAAAGUGUUGGAGGACAAACAUUAACAGUAUUUACUGAGAGCUCAUCAGAUAAGCUUUCAUUGGAAGGAAUAGUGGUACAAAGAGCUGAAUGCCGACCUGCUGCAAGUGAAAACUACAUGAGAUUAAAGAGACUGCAAAUAGAAUCUUCUAAACCUGUACGGCUAUCACAACAACUGGACAAAGUUGUAACAACCAAUUACAAACCUGUUGCCAAUCAUCAAUACAAUAUUGAAUAUGAAAGGAAAAAGAAAGAAGAUGGAAAACGAGCUCGAGCUGAUAAGCAAUGUGUUUUAGACAUGCUAUUUUCGGCUUUUGAGAAACAUCAGUAUUAUAAUCUUAAGGACUUGGUGGACAUCACAAAACAGCCUGUGGUCUACCUGACGGAAAUCUUAAAAGAAAUUGGUAUUCAGAAUGUGAAAGGGAUCCACAAAAACACAUGGGAGCUGAAGCCAGAGUAUAGACAUUAUCAAGGAGAAGAAAAGAGUGAUUAAGAAGACUCCAAGCCAGCAUGCUAACAGAACAACUAAGGGUGAUGUGUUAAGCAUACGGCAUUGAUACUUGAACUUGAGCACCAUGUGUUAUAGGGGCAAAAUGACUGAAACUUUAAUUUCUCUCUCUUUUUUUUAAAUUAA